rnacentral:rRNA from 1 species
GCCAGCAGCCAUAUCACCCUGCAACUCACAACUGGCAGCCCACUGAAGCUCAGCAGGUGUGAGCCUGGUCAGUACCUGGAUGGGAGACCUGGCGAAAACUAAGGUUGCUGCUGGAA